AAUUGUUGACUCGGAAUGAUCAGCCAACAUUAAGUUUACAAACACCUAUGAUGGCACCAGUGUUACAAAAUCCUGCAACACCGGUGAAUGGUCAGCCCUAAUACCAGGGGGCACCAUAUCAAGCGGCAUAUAGACCGGCUGUAGUUAAUGCCGGUCAACAGCCAGAGAUAGCUUGGGGGCUACCACCACCUCCACCGGUAGCAGCGUACCAGCCCCAAAAUGUAGGGGCUAGGGGGCAGGCUCCAAAUGCACAAGGGGUUAAUCCUUUGGUGCAAAAUCUCGGUGCGCCACAACCACCGAACCCAGCACCAGCGCAAGN
rnacentral:lncRNA from 1 species